rnacentral:rRNA from 1 species
GAGUGGAUAUAUAGGAAAGGAAUCCAAAUCUGCCGAAUCACUUAUGUUAUGAUCUUCUACAUCAUAGGUCUCUGCAUUCCGUCAUCUGGCUUAUGUUCUUCAUGUAACAUUCAGAUUGAAUGA